GACGAACGCUGGCGGCGUGCUUAACACAUGCAAGUCGAACGAAGUGGCGAACGGGUGAGUAAUACGUGAGUAACUGCCCUCCUUUUUGGGAUAAGCCUUGGAAACGGGGUCUAAUACCGAAUAAAGGGGGAGGGGCUCGCGGCGUAUCAGCUGGUUGGUGGGGUGAUGGCCUACCAAGGGGGUGACGGGUAGCCGGCCUGAGAGGGGACGGGCAAAAUGGGGCUGAGGUACGGCCCAGACUCAUACGGGAGGCAGCGGUGGGGUAUAUUGCACAAUGGGCGAGAGCCUGAUGCAGCGACGCCGCGUGGAGGAUGACACGUGUCGGAGCGUAAACUCCUGUUAUCAGGAAAGCGGUACCUGAUGAAUAAGCACCGGCUAACUCCGUGCCAGCAGCCGCGGUAAUAC
rnacentral:rRNA from 1 species